GAUGAACGCUAGCUACAGGCUUAACACAUGCAAGUCGAGGGGAAACGAUAGAGAAAGCUUGCUUUUUCUAGGCGUCGACCGGCGCACGGGUGAGUAACGCGUAUCCAACCUGCCCAUCACUUGGGGAUAACCUUGCGAAAGUAAGACUAAUACCCAAUGACGUCUCUAGAAAACAUCUGAAGGAGAUUAAAGAUUUAUCGGUGAUGGAUGGGGAUGCGUCUGAUUAGCUUGUUGGCGGGGUAACGGCCCACCAAGGCGACGAUCAGUAGGGGUUCUGAGAGGAAGGUCCCCCACAUUGGAACUGAGACACGGUCCAAACUCCUACGGGAGGCAGCAGUGAGGAAUAUUGGUCAAUGGACGAGAGUCUGAACCAGCCAAGUAGCGUGCAGGAUGACGGCCCUAUGGGUUGUAAACUGCUUUUAUAAGGGAAUAAAGUGAGAGUCGUGACUCUUUUUGCAUGUACCUUAUGAAUAAGGACCGGCUAAUUCCGUGCCAGCAC
rnacentral:rRNA from 1 species